CAGCCGUAAACGAUGCGCGUUAGGUGUAUCGACGACCACGAGUCGUCGAGGUGCCGAAGGGAAACCGUGAAACGUGCCGCCUGGGAAGUACGGUCGCAAGGCUGAAACUUAAAGGAAUUGGCGGGGGAGCACCACAACAGGUGGAGCCUGCGGUUUAAUUGGACUCAACGCCGGAAAUCUCACCGGAUAAGACAGCAGAAUGAUUGCCGGGCUGAAGACUCUACUUGAUGAUCUGAGAGGUGGUGCAUGGCGUCAGUGACU
rnacentral:rRNA from 1 species